GGGAAAGGAGCUUCUGACCAUAUAACCAUGGCUACCGUCUCUCUCCAUGUGACUCGUGGACUUCCCUUUGUCAUCCUAUGCCUGAGAAUAUAUGAAGGGGGCUGGGAAGGCAAAGGGACGUUCAGUUGUCAUCAUUGGCAUCUCUUUUGA
ensembl:miRNA sha-mir-204 sha-mir-204